UAAUCUCACUCCGACGACUUUUUUGUUGUCUGGAUGUGGACUUGGACCUUGCUGUGUCACUACAGCUGGUCUGAAAUGCAUGAGUGCACCCUGCUGUAGCAGCGUCUUCAGUGUGAUAAGUAUCUUCACUGAUUCAAGUUCCCUUGGGACACGCUUGUCUGGUGGGCUCUGCGCUUCCAACCGUCUACUUGUGGACAAGCUUUGACA
rnacentral:misc_RNA from 2 species